rnacentral:rRNA from 1 species
GAUGAACGCUGGCGGCGUGCCUAAUACAUGCAAGUCGAGCGAAUGGAUUAAGAGCUUGCUCUUAUGAAGUUAGCGGCGGACGGGUGAGUAACACGUGGGUAACCUGCCCAUAAGACUGGGAUAACUCCGGGAAACCGGGGCUAAUACCGGAUAACAUUUUGUACCGCAUGGUUCGAAAUUGAAAGGCGGCUUCGGCUGUCACUUAUGGAUGGACCCGCGUCGCAUUAGCUAGUUGGUGAGGUAACGGCUCACCAAGGCAACGAUGCGUAGCCGACCUGAGAGGGUGAUAGGCCACACUGGGACUGAGACACGGCCCAGACUCCUACGGGAGGUAGCAGUAGGGAAUCUUCCGCAAUGGACGAAAGUCUGACGGAGCAACGCCGCGUGAGUGAUGAAGGCUUUCGGGUCGUAAAACUCUGUUGUUAGGGAAGAACAAGUGCUAGUUGAAUAAGCUGGCACCUUGACGGUACCUAACCAGAAAGCCACGGCUAACUACGUGCCAGCAGCCGCAGUAA